ACUGCUUCUGUGGACAGGUGUCUUUUAUACAGGUAACAAGCUGAGAUUAAGGAGCACUCCCUUUAAUAGAGUGCUCCUAAUCUCAGUUUGUUACCUGUAUAAAAGAAACCUGGGAGCCAGAAA